UUAAGUUCAGCGGGUAGUCCUACCUGAUUUGAGGUCAAAUUGUCAAAAGAUUGUCCUUGCGGACGGUUAGAAGCAAGUCUAAGCCCAAUCCACGGCGUAGAUAAUUAUCACACCAAUAGACGGAGCCCAGUUGGAACUCGCUAAUACAUUUCAGGGGAGCAGACCGCACUGAGGCAGCCUGCACAAACCCCCACAUCCAA
rnacentral:misc_RNA from 1 species